rnacentral:lncRNA from 1 species
AAUUCACUCUUUUGAUUCAUUAUAGAGUUCUGGGAAUGUUAAUCCUUACGAUUUUAUCUGAUUCGUCUCACAGCCCUUUUCCUCCGUCUAUCAAUGCGAUAACAAAAUACCUUCUCUGUUGCAACCCGCCAUUUCGAUUUUUUUGUGCGCGGUCGGCAGUGGGAACAGGCAAGCGAAUCAUUGGAAGCGAGACAUUCUUUACCGAAAGUCAACUCUUGUGAACUUUGCGCGAUUCGCUUCGCUUACCGCGUGACGCUCGACGCUUUCGCUUGACAAGUUGACAGUGGGAACCGGCCUUUACUGUGAUAGCCCAUCUACCUACCAAUUAAUGUUAGUGUCGAAUUGCACAAAUCUGAUUGGUCACUUCAUCAGCUGAUUUGAAUUGUCACUUCAUGUAGAGCCGACGGAAGCGGUAGUAUUUUGAAUUUUUCUCUGGACUUUCAUGAUGUUAGGCAGUUAUAAACAUACUUCUUGGAGUAUUUUAGCAAUACUGUAUUCACUAUUGAGUGGAUACUCAAGUUGCAGUUACCCUUUGAUACUGCUGAAAUACUUCCAAGUCUAUGUUUAAACCGCCUAUCAUCAACAGCCGUAACUGUACCAAUUAACUGAUAAAAAUUCAAACACCAGCAUUCUUGGUCUUGAAGUGACCUAGCCCAAUCCGAUUUCAGUAAUUCGAGCUGAGUAGCCUUGGACCAUGGCUAAAUAUUGUACACCUAUGCAUGCACAGCAUAUGUUGGUGAACUGUGUCUUGUUCUUGAAGUGCUUGGCAUUGAAUUACUUUUUUAAAGAAAAUGAUUAGGUACUGUACUAGAAGACCUUACCAAAUGCAGAUGCAAAUGAAGAGAAAAGUGUUAGGGGAGUUGUUACUGACAUUGUUAUAGAAGAUAAUGGUAAACCAAAAGGAACAACACCAGGCAUAUUAACCAGAUAAGGAGAAGCAAAAUUGGCAGUUCGUUUCCUAACAUUGUAGAAAAAACAAUCUGUAUUAAAAGCUGUAAAUGAAGAAUCCGCAUUAGGUAUGUUUUGUUGCUUACCAUAACAGAGAACCAUUAAAACCAUUAGAAUAGAUGUUUAUUUUGGGAUGCAGAAAUGUAGUCUUUAUUUCGAGGAAGAUGAUAUAGCCAGCAAUUUAAAUUGUGUGUGUGGGUGUGUGUGUGUGUUGAUUUGGUUCCUCUUCUUAGGGGUUAUCCAACUACUACUUAACUUAAAAAAAUUAAUGAAUACUCUCAGCACUCUCAUGUGAACUGUAUUAAUACUGUAUUAAAACUAAAUAUUUAUUUGAUCAUAAAGGAAACAAUUCAAAUAAUUGAUACGGGAUCCACAUAUAUUUUUUUUUCAAUGAUGUGUACUUCUUUUCUGUUUUGUAGGUUAUGUUUAGGAAUUAUUUAAUGCUCUUCCUUUGAGAGUCGGUAUGAGAUCAAAAUGCUUAAGGAUGCACUUGAAUAUGCAAAAGAAAAUCAUGACGUCAUUUCUGAACAAAUAACAAAUUACUUUAUUUGGACUGAUAAGGCUACACUGGUUAGGGAAAGAAAGUCAAGAUUCAAAUGAAACAGAAGUUUAAUGUAGGUUAUGCAGUAAUGUUAAAAUUAGGAAUUGAAUUGCAAGUAUCGGAAGGAAAUGGCUUCCAUAUUGUAAGAACUGCACAUGCUGGUAUUUCUCUUCGGUUGUUCCAGAUCCAACAUAUGAAUCGCCUGUAUGCAACAUGACGGUACAAUCUAAUACAGUAAUGUUAAUGCAGGACAGCAAUGGAAAUAAACCUGCUAUUGGUUUUCGUGGGUUAUUUCCCUGUUUGUUAACUGUAAACUUUUGGCUAAAUAAAUAAAUGAAUGAAUGGGGAAAAACAAUUUUCAGACAAUUGCUAAAGAAAUUUACAUGAAAUUAUUAAAGCUUGGAGAAAUAGUUAAGUGGUGUUUCCCCCUUUCAUCCAAAUAUUGGUCAAUAAUGGCAAUUUCUUUAAAGCAUGGACACUCUUGUUGCAUUACUCACAAAAGCAUAUAGGUCUAAACAAUUUUUACUAUAUUGUAUAUAUAUGCUUUAUAUAAAUUUUUAAAAAAUAAUGAAAAACAAUAAUGCUUUGGGAAUAAAUGGAAUAAUAUGCCCUCUUCUUAUCAUCAGCAAUAACUGACGACAAGACAAGAUCCAGCAAUUGACAAAACAAGAUAUAUAUAAAUAGUACUGACAGUACUCCAAUAAACAAUUUAUGUACAGUA